UAACGCGAAGAACCUUACCAGGUCUUGACAUCUUCUGCUAACCUAAGAGAUUAGGCGUUCCCUUCGGGGACGGAAUGACAGGUGGUGCAUGGUUGUCGUCAGCUCGUGUCGUGAGAUGUUAGGUUAAGUCCCGCAACGAGCGCAACCCUUAUUGUCAGUUGCCAGCAUUUAGUUGGGCACUCUGGCGAGACUGCCGGUGACAAACCGGAGGAAGGUGGGGAUGACGUCAAAUCAUCAUGCCCCUUAUGACCUGGGCUACACACGUGCUACAAUGGACGGUACAACGAGUCGCGAAACCGCGAGGUCAAGCUAAUCUCUUAAAGCCGUUCUCAGUUCGGAUUGUAGGCUGCAACUCGCCUACAUGAAGUUGGAAUCGCUAGUAAUCGUGGAUCAGC
rnacentral:rRNA from 1 species